rnacentral:rRNA from 1 species
GACAGAGGGUGCAAACGUUGUUCGGAAUUACUGGGCGUAAAGCGCGUGUAGGCGGUUGUCCAAGUUGGAUGUGAAAGCCUUGAGCUCAACUCAAGAAAUGCAUUCAGGACUGGAUGACUAGAGGACCGGAGAGGAUAGUGGAAUUCCCAGUGUAGUGGUGAAAUACGUAGAGAUUGGGAAGAACACCAGUGGCGAAGGCGGCUAUCUGGACGGUUUCUGACGCUAAGACGCGAAAGCGUGGGGAGCAAACAGG